AGCGAACGCUGGCGGCAGGCUUAACACAUGCAAGUCGAACGCCCCUUUCGGGGGGAGUGGCAGACGGGUGAGUAACGCGUGGGAACGUGCCCAUCGGUUCGGGAUAACCCAGGGAAACUUGGGCUAAUACCGGAUACGACCGCGAGGUGAAAGAACUUCGCCGAUGGAUCGGCCCGCGUCUGAUUAGCUGGUUGGUAGGGUAACGGCCUACCAAGGCGACGAUCAGUAGCUGGUCUGAGAGGAUGAUCAGCCACACUGGGACUGAGACACGGCCCAGACUCCUACGGGAGGCAGCAGUGGGGAAUAUUGGACAAUGGGCGCAAGCCUGAUCCAGCCAUGCCGCGUGAGUGAUGAAGGCCCUAGGGUUGUAAAGCUCUUUCGCACGCGACGAUAAUGACGGUAGCGUGAGAAGAAGCCCCGGCUAACUUCGUGCCAGCCGCCGCCGUAAAAC
rnacentral:rRNA from 1 species